UACCGAGUGAGGGCCCUCUGGGUCCAACCUCCCACCCGUGUUUAUUUUACCUUGUUGCUUCGGCGGGCCCGCCUUAACUGGCCGCCGGGGGGCUCACGCCCCCGGGCCCGCGCCCGCCGAAGACACCCUCGAACUCUGUCUGAAGAUUGAAGUCUGAGUGAAAAUAUAAAUUAUUUAAAACUUUCAACAACGGAUCUCUUGGUUCCGGCAUCGAUGAAGAACGCAGCGAAAUGCGAUACGUAAUGUGAAUUGCAAAUUCAGUGAAUCAUCGAGUCUUUGAACGCACAUUGCGCCCCCUGGUAUUCCGGGGGGCAUGCCUGUCCGAGCGUCAUUGCUGCCCUCAAGCCCGGCUUGUGUGUUGGGCCCCGUCCUCCGAUCUCCGGGGGACGGGCCCGAAAGGCAGCGGCGGCACCGCGUCCGGUCCUCGAGCGUAUGGGGCUUUGUCACCCGCUCUGUAGGCCCGGCCGGCGCUUGCCGAUCAACCCAAAUUUUUAUCCAGGUUGACCUCGGAUCAGGUAGGGAUACCCGCUGAACUUAAGCAU
rnacentral:rRNA from 1 species